UACGGGGGGGGCAAGCGUUGUUCGGAAUUACUGGGCGUAAAGGGCUCGUAGGCGGCCAACUAAGUCAGACGUGAAAUCCCUCGGCUUAACCGGGGAACUGCGUCUGAUACUGGAUGGCUUGAGGUUGGGAGAGGGAUGCGGAAUUCCAGGUGUAGCGGUGAAAUGCGUAGAUAUCUGGAGGAACACCGGUGGCGAAGGCGGCAUCCUGGCCUGUAACUGACGCUGAGACGCGAAAGCGUGGGGAGCGAACCGG
rnacentral:rRNA from 1 species